rnacentral:tRNA from 2 species
AAUCCGUCGACUUUAAAGAUCGUGAGGGUUCAAGUCCCUCUAUCCCCAAAAAG